rnacentral:rRNA from 1 species
UACGGGGGGGGCAAGCGUUGUUCGGAAUUACUGGGCGUAAAGGGCUCGUAGGUGGCCAACUAAGUCAGACGUGAAAUCCCUCGGCUUAACCGGGGAACUGCGUCUGAUACUGGAUGGCUUGAGUUUGGGAGAGGGACGCGGAAUUCCAGGUGUAGCGGUGAAAUGCGUAGAUAUCUGGAGGAACACCGGUGGCGAAGGCGGGUCUCUGGGCCGAUACUGACGCUGAGGAGCGAAAGCAUGGGUAGCGAACAGG